CGGCCCUCGGAUUCUGGGAACCGGUUCUGCUGCUGUGUCAUUUUGUACCAGCCCCUCCUUUCAUUGCUGCCCGCCG
rnacentral:miRNA from 1 species